AGCAAAUGAUGUUUUCUCACGAUGGUCUUCCUAGACUCCAGGAGAGCUCUGAGGAUAGAGCCUUAUGGCAAUGCUGAUGCAGCUGA